UUUUUUUUUUACGUAGGCUGUUCUCGCUGACUCGCUCUGUAGUUUAAUGUAAACUGAACAUGUCAAGGGGUCAAAUCAUUGGGAUUACAGCUGGGGCUGCUGUCCAGUAGGUGUCGGAAAUGCACCUUUUAAGUGGGUUUGCCAACCGCCGUUAAAAAGAAAAGAAGAAGAAGAAGAAGAAGGAAGUAGGCUGUUCUCGCUGACUCGCUCUGUAGUUUAAUGUAAACUGAACAUGUCAAGGGGUCAAAUCAUUGGGAUUACAGCUGGGGCUGCUGUUUAUUUUCCUGUUGAUUAGCUGGUGCAGUACUUUUGGCCCCCGUUGCGCUCAGCAUGGCUGGGUUCACCGCCGCCGGUAUCACCGCAGGUUCUAUGGCCGCUGGCAUGAUGUCUUCAGCAGCCAUCACCAGUGGUGGGGGUGUGGCUACGGGAAGUUUGGUCGCUCUCCUCCAAUCUGCAGGUGCUGCUGGUAUGUCUGCAACAGCAACAGCUGGUGUGGCAUCUGUGGGCGGUGCUGCAGGAGCUCUAGUAAGUGGAGCAGUUGGUUUCUUGAAGAGGAUGAGGAAAUGAGACAUGUACUGGAGUCCAAAGAGCUUCUGUUCACAGCCGGCUACCAUGAAAGGAGUUUAGUAGCAGCCACUGUGUGUUUAAAGUAAUUGUCUGUAGCUUGAUUGUAAACAAUUUAUAACAUUUUGAAAAUAAGAAUGUAAGCACCCAAAACUUUAGAAAUAUCGAAAAAUCUGUGAAUUUUUUUCAUUUGGCACUUUGUAACUAAAAUUAUGCGGGGAUUCUACGCUAGAAGUCACACUAAAAAAAUUUUUUUGUUUUUUUUAUGUGGUCAAAAAAAUGUGGUCUGUUUAAAUGUAUCUUCUUAAAGCACUUUUACAUUGUGUUUACAUCCUGUGCAGAAUUAUUCAUACUCACUGUUUUUCAUAGAUUGCGAAAAUGUAACUACUUUAAAACGAAUCCAUGUAGUAAAUUCAUGUUGCUAAUAAUGUGACUUUUGAAAUUUGAAUUCUGUCGCCAGAAUAAAAUAAUU